rnacentral:rRNA from 1 species
GACAGAGGGUGCAAACGUUGUUCGGAAUUACUGGGCGUAAAGCGCGUGUAGGCGGCUAAGUAAGUCGGGCGUGAAAUCCCACGGCUCAACCGUGGAAGUGCACUCGAAACUGCAUAGCUAGAGUCCUGGAGAGGAAGGUGGGAUGCUUGGUGUAGAGGUGAAAGUUCGUAGAUAUCAAGCGGAACACCGGUGGCGAAGGCGGCCUCUGGACAGU